UGCAUGAAGACGAACACGCCUAAUGAUUGGUGGUCAAUGGUAAAAACGUCAUUCUAUGCGACAAUAUUUAAUAGCUACUAACUACGGUGUUCAAUGGUGCAACAGAAAACUAGUUUGUUUCAAAAGGUUUAAGACACACCUGAGUUUAUGAUCGACCUAGGUAAGCUUACGUUCUACUGGUGCACCGGCUACAGAUUUGAAGAAAAUUUAGUUUGGGAGGUGUCAGAUUUGUGUUAAACUGCUCAUUUAAAAAAUGGAAGAGCAGGAAGGUAUCCUGGCAGCCCCAACUGGAAGUUGUGGAUACUCACCAUUUGUUUCAGAUGGGCUGAUGGGGCAUAUUUUAGGGUUUCCCCUAUGAGGAGCUCCACCACCUUCUCCCCCAGCUCCGGCUUCCAUUUCAUGACCGCCUCUGAAAUUGGAGAAAUUAUUUCACUUAGGCUAAUCUGUCAGUUAGAAAAUGUUACAAUGGACUUUUUUGUUAGCUAGCCUAAACAAAAUGUAGCAGUUCAGUUGCUUUGUAGCUUGUGUCAUUUGGGUAAGGAGUUGAGGUGUACUUUCGUU